GAUCCUGGCUCAGGAUGAACGCUAGCUACAGGCUUAACACAUGCAAGUUGAGGGGCAGCAUGGUCUUAGCUUGCUAAGGCCGAUGGCGACCGGCGCACGGGUGAGUAACGCGUACCCAACCUGCCUUACACUCUUGGACAGCCUUCUGAAAGGGAGAUUAAUACAAGAUGUUAUCAUGAGUAAGCAUUUUCGCAUGAUUAAAGGUUUACCGGUGUAAGAUGGGGAUGCGUUCCAUUAG
rnacentral:rRNA from 1 species